GAGUAUGGGUUAUGCAGAUGGGGAACCCUACGAGGCCUUGGCAAGCCUGUGAUUCCAAUUCAGAUGUGUGGCGAUGGCAACACUGAUGGCAGAUCUGCCUUUUUGAAAUCGUCAAUGACAACCUAUACAAAUUGAAUCUCUUGACCUCGGCCAGAACCUCAGUUCAUUAUUCCCCACACAGCCCCCUCCUCCACUGACUCCUCACCUGAUAUUCUACUUGUCACACUGGGUUUACCUUCACAUUUGAGAUAUAUGGCUGAUUUCACUGCAGUUGGUUGCUCCAUUGCAGGAAAUUCAUCUUCCAGAUGGUAACAAAUGUGGUGGAGGCUGGAGUACAGCUAGUGCUCAUGGACCAGUUGCCGGCUCAAUAAUGACUCUUUUUGUGUAAUGUAUCAGAAUACCUUUGUUGGAAACACGGCCUGGAAACAUUUCAUAGUGCUAGUUUACUGUAAUUUGUUGCCCUUUCUUUGUAAUAUCCACGAGUGCAAUCUCAACUAUAUAUGAUGAAACUAAUAAAUUCUAUACAAGGGCUCAAUUUAU